CAAUAGCGUAUAUUAAAGUUGUUGCGGUAAAAAAGCUCGUAGUUGGAUUUCUGUUGAGAGCGACCGGUCCAUACCAUGUAUGCGUAUCUGGCUUGCUCUCGGCAUCCUCUCGAUAGACGUUACUGCGCUUGAUUGCGUGGUGCGGAUCUCGGGACUUUUACUUUGAGGAAAUUAGAGUGUUCACGGCAGGCUUUCGCCAGAAUACAUUAGCAUGGAAUAAUACUAUAGGAUCUUGGUUCUAUUUUGUUGGUUUCUAGAAUGGAGAUAAUGAUUAAUAGGGACAAUUGGGGGCAUUCGUAUCAACACGUCAGAGGUGGAAUUCUUGGAUUGUGUUGCGACGAACUACUGCGAAAGCAUUUGCCAAGGAUGUUUUCAUUGA
rnacentral:rRNA from 1 species